GCUGAAAAUGUCUUGAGGGAGGAGUGAUUAAAGUGAUCCCUUUGGGCCGCGGAGGAGCCCGGCCCAGGGGCUGGGCGGUGGACUCCUCCCCUCCCUGACCCCUCCUCCCCUGCUGAGAAGGAGGGACACAGACAUUGUCAGGUGGCUUGCAGAGUGUGGGAGUGGUCCCCUCCCAGCUGGCAGGCGAGGGGCGUGGACCUUGGUGCCAGGCCCCGCGUGGGGGCUGCAGGCGCAGACAGUGCCCGGGGAGUCAGUGGGCCCAGCACCAGCCUGGGUUUGCCAAGGAAGAACCUGCCUUCUGCUCUCAGAACCUCUCCAGGCUCAUGACUGUUAAAACUCCAUACAUUCAGGACCCAGCAGAGAAAAGACUGGAGUCCUUUCUUCGGUGGCUUUUCGACUCAGAAAUACCAAGAGCCGCUUUUGGUACCUAUAUCGGAAACUUGAAGGCUGCACUUCUUAAUAAGUAUAUGGACUAUUUCCUGGAGUUGCUCCCAAGUUCACACUCUGGUGAAAAGCCAUGAGCUGACCUGUCCUAAGCCGCAGGACUUGGCUGAGCCGACACUCUUGGAGGCAUCAGGCAUACUGUUCUGAACAGUGGUUUAGAAUAUUUCUUUCUUGGACGUUCGAGUCCAACGUGGCUGAUAGAAGACCCGGGGGCAAUGGAGGAGGCCAAGUGAAGGGGUGGAGAUCGGCUCUGGGUACUACACUUCCAGAUGCGGACAGUUUCUGGACACCCGGUGACUAUAUGGGCACAAACGCACCUUUACAAAUGACGUGGUCCUGCUGCACCAGCCUAGCAGACAGCUGUCACCACUGUGACUCACUGUGAGAGCUGAGCCGUUCCAGAAACGCCUGUACACGGUUUAGCGAGACAGCCCACUGAUCUUCUGUUUGGCCGUCUUCGCAACGUUAAAUCGCGCGUUGCAGCAUUACAUCGUGUGUGGGGCUGAGGACACUUGAGGAUCCCGCAGAGCAGCGUGCUGUAAGCUGCGUCACGUCAUGUCUUGGGUCAGGAUGCAGCACUGGGCCGUCCUUUGCCCAAUCAUCUGGGGCAAGCUUCAGAGCUCCUGCUCCUCUUGGGCUGUGUCAGCCUGGCGGAGAGGCUGGGGCCACGGGACGGUCCUCUGCUGUUCAGAAAGGGAGCUUCCACGGGGACGCAGGACAAAGCAGGAAGCCGGCCGGGCCCGGCAGCCACGUUCCGUGGGCCUUUUUGUCAGCCACAUCCGGGAGGACAUAACUGCAGUGACUUCUUCUCUGAAUCUCACUGAUACCAUGAGAGGCAUGAGGGGAAAGCAUCCCAGCUGGGCAUUCAAAUUUGAGGAAGUCAGUCCCUCCUCCACACACCUAUCCUGUCUUCCACAUACACAACAUCUUCGGGGGAUGUUGGAAGAAUAUUAAUGAGCUUAGGGUCCAUAAAGGACUCAGGGAUGCUUGGAGGUGUGUACAAAGUGCACUUACCAACCUUAUAGGCUUAUUGAGUGGAUGUGCUAAUUAAUGGACCAGGAGGCUUUGAAAAUGGAAAACAUGAUAUUAUAAUAAUUGGCAAGUUCCUUCAGCCUCCUGCUUCAGCUUCCUCGUCUGCAGAGUGGAGAUAAUAACACUCAUCUAACCGGGGUUUCAGGGAGACCCACGUUAAUUCUGACCUGCUCUGUGCUUUCAUAUUCAGGAACGACGUUUACAAUGUGGUGCAACUUAAAAUCAAGAUGAACCUGUGGUCCGGAUUCUCAUUUAUGUUGCCCUUCAUUGUGCAGAUUAAAGCUGGGAUGAUCUCUUUGCUUUAACACUGACAAAGGAAAAAGAGGAAUGCUUUCCUGAAAACGUUUAAGUUUACACAAAUUUACUACAAUUGCCUGAGAAUGCAAGUGUUACUUUUAGCCUCUGGGAAGAGGAAAAUCAGACGAUGAGGCCCAGAGUGAAAGGAGUGAGGAGAGGAGUGAAGCGUGAGGGGACAGAGUGAAAGUGAAAGCGCUGGUCACUCAGUCGUGUCCAACUCUGGGCGACCCCACAGACUGUAGCCCACCAGUCUCCUCUGACCGUGCGAUUCUCCAGGCAAGAAUACCAGAGAGGGUAGCUGUUUCCUUCUCCAAGAGAUUUUCCUGACCCAGGGAUCGAACCUGGGUCUCCCGCAUUGCAGGCAGAUUGUCUGAGCCGCCAGGGAAGCCCUGAGUAUCUCCCACUAAACCCCUGAGGAGAAUGUCCACCCAAGUAGCAGCAUCUUCGGUGAGGGAGAAGAUGGGUUUCAUUUUUCUCGUAAGGAGUUUGAAAGUUGACUAUCUACGUCAGAUACAGUGGUCACUCACUGCACAAACUCCUCCAAGACCUGGACACUUCUAGUUCACUGCUCUGCCGUCCCCUAGGGAGGACCCUGAGGCCUUUUCAGGAGAAAGAUCUCUGAGACAAGAAUUAUUUUAUAUGAUACUGAGAUGUUCCUCGCCUGUCUACUCUCAUUCUCUCAAGGGUGGGG